AACGAACGCUGGCGGCAGGCCUAACACAUGCAAGUCGAGCGAGGACUUCGGUCCUAGCGGCGGACGGGUGAGUAACGCGUGGGAACGUGCCCUUUGCUUCGGAAUAGCCCUGGGAAACUGGGAGUAAUACCGGAUGAGCCCUUUGGGGGAAAGAUUUAUCGGCGAAGGAUCGGCCCGCGUUGGAUUAGGUAGUUGGUGGGGUAAUGGCCUACCAAGCCGACGAUCCAUAGCUGGUUUGAGAGGAUGAUCAGCCACACUGGGACUGAGACACGGCCCAGACUCAUACGGGAGGCAGCAGUGGGGAAUCUUAGACAAUGGGGGAAACCCUGAUCUAGCCAUGCCGCGUGAGCGAUGAAGGCCGUAGGGUUGUAAAGCUCUUUAAGCUGGGAAGAUAAUGACGGUACCAGCAGAAGAAGCCCCGGCUAACUCCGUG
rnacentral:rRNA from 1 species